GAUGAACGCUGGCGGCGUGCGUAACACAUGCAAGUUGAACGACGGUGCCAUGAAGUGGUAACACGGAGUGGUAUACGGAGUAGCGGACGGGUGAGUAAAGCAUGAGGAUCUGUCCUGUCGAGGGGGAUAACGUUCGGAAACGGACCCUAAUACCCCAUAGUCCGAGAGGUUAAAGGCAGCGAUGCGCGGCAGGAGGAGCUCGUGUCCUAUCAGCUGGUUGGUGAGGUAACGGCUCACCAAGGCAACGACGGGUAGCCGGCCUGAGAGAGUGACCGGCCACACUGGAACUGAGAAACGGUCCAGACUCCUACGGGAGGCAGCAGUGGGGAAUAUUGGGCAAUGGGAGGAAUCCUGACCCAGCGACGCCGCGUGAACGAAGACGGCCUUCGGGUUGUAAAGUUCUUUUAUGUGGGAAGAAUGAA
rnacentral:rRNA from 1 species